rnacentral:rRNA from 1 species
GACGAACGCUGGCGGCGUGCUUAACACAUGCAAGUCGAGCGGUAAGGCCCUUUCGGGGGUACACGAGCGGCGAACGGGUGAGUAGCACGUGGGUGACCUGCCCUUAGCUCUGGGAUAAGCCUGGGAAACUGGGUCUAAUACCGGAUAUGACUCCAUGACGCAUGUUGUGGGGUGGAAAGCCUUGUGCGGCUAGGGAUGGGCCCGCGGCCUAUCAGCUUGUUGGUGGGGUGAUGGCCACCAAGGCGACGACGGGUAGCCGGCCUGAGAGGGCGACCGGCCACACUGGGACUGAGACACGGCCCAGACUCCUACGGGAGGCAGCAGUCGGGGAAUUUUGGGCAAUGGGCGAAAGCCUGACCCAGCAACGCCGCGUGAAGGAUGAAAUCCCUCGGGAUGUAAACUUCGCAAGAACGGGAAGAAUAAGCGAGAGUAAAUAUCUUUCGCGAUGACGGUACCGUUUGUAAGCUCCGGCUAACUCCGUGCCAGCAGCCGCCGUAAC